UACGAAGGGGGCUAGCGUUGCUCGGAAUCACUGGGCGUAAAGCGCACGUAGGCGGCCGUUCAAGUCGGGGGUGAAAGCCUGUGGCUCAACCACAGAAUUGCCUUCGAUACUGGACGGCUCGAGACCGGAAGAGGUCAGUGGAACUGCGAGUGUAGAGGUGAAAUUCGUAGAUAUUCGCAAGAACACCAGUGGCGAAGGCGGCUGACUGGUCCGGUUCUGACGCUGAGGCGCGAAAGCGUGGGGAGCAAACAGG
rnacentral:rRNA from 1 species